CGGGUGUUGCUCCCCUAGAAACAGAUAUGCAGUCCAUUGUGGGCCAGCAAGUGAGUGCUGAGAACCCAGUCCGGGUCUUCUGUAAGAGCAGCAAGUCCUCUUAACCAUGGGGCCAUCUCUGCAGUCCAAGUCAUCAAAUAUUAAACGUUAUAUAUUUGGGAAUGUGAUGGUCAGAUGACAAUUAACAUAUCAAGAAAUUGGGAAAUACUUUUCCAAGUCUCUGUCCUGUUUUCCAUGGCCACCAGCAGUGGGUAUGAGAGUUUCAUCCUCCACAACCUGCCAGGACAUUCAAGAAGCCUCAGCCCAACUGAUAGAGCCAAAAUUACCUGCAGAUAUGAUGCAACUAUUCCUAAAAACAUCUCAAAUAUUUUGAAGUUGCAAGUUAAUUAUGAGAAAAGAAACAAAUGUCCAACACCCAGUUUGGGGGAAAUUUUCUAAGGCAGCCACAGGUCUAAUGUUUGCCCAAAUGGAAUCUUUGGAAUCAUAGAGAUACUCCUUCACCUCCCAGCCAGCUCCAUCAGGUCUCUUCUAUGAUAAGAACAACAGGAAGGCAGAGAGAACACGCAGAAGGUUGACAAGAAGCUGACAUGAGCCCUUGUUUCCAUAGAACAGGGGAGAAAACAGUGAACUCUCCAUGCAAAACCAGCUCCUGGAGAAGAACCAAGUGUGGUGUGGUCUUGUCAGCCUGUUACCUGAGCAAGAGUGACAAGAUCAUGUGGGACUCACCAGGAUCUGGGUCAUUGUUCUGCACACACAACCACAGAGAGUACAACAGCAGCCUCCAGUCCCUUGUUGCUGACCUUUGAGGAAGCUGGGCAUGUAAGGCCAGUUGGAAACCUUGUCUAAGAAAAACAUCAGGGGGAUGGCGCCUGAGUUACAGCACCGGAGGCUGUCUUCUGUCCCCUGACCUCACGCGCGCGCACACACACAAACACACACACACACAAUUGCUCACGC